UACGUAGGGGGCAAGCGUUAUCCGGAUUUACUGGGUGUAAAGGGAGCGUAGACGGCAGAGCAAGUCCGGAGUGAAAGCCCGGGGCCCAACCCCGGGACUGCUCUGGAAACUGUUAAGCUGGAGUGCGGGAGGGGCAGGCGGAAUUCCUGGUGUAGCGGUGAAAUGCGUAGAUAUCACACAGAACACCGAUUGCGAAGGCAUCUGACGAAUCGGAGAUUGACGCUGAUGCACGAAAGCGUGGGUAUCGAACAGG
rnacentral:rRNA from 1 species